GCCCGGGUGGCGGAAUAGGUAGACGCACAGGACUUAAAAUCCUGUGUUCAGGAAUGGACGUGAGGGUUCGAUUCCCUCUCCGGGCACCA
rnacentral:tRNA from 1 species